UACGUAGGGGGCAAGCGUUGUCCGGAAUUAUUGGGCGUAAAGGGCUCGUAGGCGGCCAACUAAGUCAGACGUGAAAUCCCUCGGCUUAACCGGGGAACCGCGUCUGAUACUGGAUGGCUUGAGGUUGGGAGAGGGAUGCGGAAUUCCAGGUGUAGCGGUGAAAUGCGUAGAUAUCUGGAGGAACACCGGUGGCGAAGGCGGCAUCCUGGACCAAUUCUGACGCUGAGGAGCGAAAGCCAGGGGAGCAAACGGG
rnacentral:rRNA from 1 species